CAACUCUGUGUUUCUGUGAUGCUGGAGCCAAGCAUCCUGCAGCCAUCUCCAAAGCCAGUGCUGCAGCAAGCUUCAACAUCCUUAUUUUUGAAACAACAUCUUACAAAACAUCUGCUUGUGUAUCUUCAUCAGGAAAAGUCCUACAUUUGGAGGUUUGGGUAGUUUUUUUCCCCAAAUCUGUCUGGCCUGCAGCUGUGCUGGUGAGCAGACAAAUUGCCUGUUCUUAUUAUUUAUAUUUCUAUUUAUUUAUUAUUUUCUAGCUCUUACUAUUUACAGUUGGACUCGAUGAUCUCAAAGGUCUUUUCCAACCCAAAAUAUUCAAUGAUUCUGUAUUAUUCUAUUAUUUUUUCUCAUCUCAUAUUACUUACUCUUUUUAUUUCAUCCCCGUGUGUGACUGUUUCAACCACAUCAAUCCAGCUCUGGUCUUGAAUGUGGAAGGAGCAGGGGCUGGGGUUGUCUUCUCAACCUCUUUUCAUUAGGGUGUCAUUACUGCCAGGCAGAGAAGAGACCUCAAAAAAACCCAUUUCCAGUCUUAGCUUUUGGUUUCCAGAUGGUGGCUUGGGGGGGAUUUGGAUCAUCAGUAUCGGGUCCAGUAGAAGCCACGUCUGUUUAGAUGUUACAUCUUGACCUCCAAGUGGGUGACAGUGAAGAGAAACCUCAAACUGAGGCAAAUCAGAGCCUGGCAAUCCAUGGAUUCGUGCCUGCUCGCCUGGACCUGCCAUCCCAGUGCCCCAGGAGGCAGCAAGAGGACUCUGCCACCCAUCCCGUGGCAUCUGUGCGGGCAGAGUCACCUCCUCGUGUCCCCGGGGUGGUUUCUAAGGUUGUCUUCCUGCAUCCUGCUUUUUCCUGGUGUGGACGGGUGGAAACACAAGGAUGAGAUGGGUGGGAUCACGCUGAGGGAACGGGAGACACAAAUCAACCCGUUUUCCAGACAGAUCAGUAGAGCUUACCCACCUCCCUCCAAGAGGAAAACGCUGCCUUGUCGAGGAUGGUUGGAAAUCUCGGACGAGUGAAUUGUUUGGAGCCAAGGGGAUGUGCUUUCAAGAAGUUCAUCUCCCUGAUGCUGCCUGCAAGGGGAUGUCUUCUGAAAAGUGAAAGUCCUGCUGCAGUUCCAAACAGUUUCCAGGGCUCCUGCAGGAAGGUGACCUGACAAGCGGAGGAGAAGGUGAAACAUCCCCAAGGGCUGCUCUUUGGCUGCAGACUUGGUCGGAGCUCAUCACUUGGGCUCCCCCCGUGUGGGAUGGGGUUUUCCCUUUGGGGGUAAGAGCUGGCAGGUUUUUCCAUCAUCAAACAAUCCCUGAGUUGUGGUAUCAAGUGGAGGUAGAAGAGCCACCGAUACCCUCCCACUGCUGGAGAACAUCCGCGCUCGGAGCCUCAGCGCGACGGCAACAAAGUCUAAGUUGUGUGAAGCUGACGAGGGGCAGGAUGCCACGUAUUUCAUGUCGUUGAUUAAUACAAAUGACCACUCAGCCUGGAGCUCCAGCACAGGUGGCUACGUGGGUGGCUUUGCCCUCCAACACCCUUUGGAAACCCUCUUCCCGGGUUGCAGGGGAAUUAACAACGGCGCCUCUCGUCGCCGAGAAGCUUCGGGCUGAAAUGUGCCCGGUGGGCUGAUUUCUGAUGCUCCUCUGCAGGUGAAAUCAAACCUUCUUCCAGCCUGCAAAGAU